CCCGGAGUCCGCCUGGGGCCGUGCCUGGGCGCUGCGCGUUGGUCCGCCGGAGUCUUGCGGUGGCUUGGGAGAGUGAGUCUAGCGCUCAGCCCUCGAGGUUGCCAAGUGCCUUGCGUUUCCACAUUUUCCCGCCGGGGCGCAUGUAGCCUGGCUUUUCUCUGAGGUGAGGCCUACAAAUGCGUGGGGCUGCCGCCGACACCAGAAGGAAAGACCGGCAUUUCUUCCUCAGGAGAAGAAAGCAGGUCUUAUCUGCAUGGUUGAAAUGAUACCAUCCCCAUGUCUUCAUUCAAGUUCUUAGGAAGAGGAAUAGAGCGCAAGGAAUUUCCUGUAAAGGAACUUAACUGGUUCAUUGUAUUCAGUGACCACAUUGCUUACCAGUGCUGAAACAUCCUCUUCCGUCUGCCUCCCCCAACAACCCUGGGUCUGUUUUUUCAAUUUAAAGCAACUGUUCAUGGAAUGCCUGCCAUGAAG